rnacentral:lncRNA from 13 species
UUCGAUACCAAUCCAAUUAAAUAAAUAUAAAUCUGUAUACUCCAGUUGAAAGUACAAUUUUGUAUUUCUGUACAUUUUAUUUCUACUGCCAGUGAAGUCACACACCCAUGCAAACAUACAACAUCUAAAUCUAACAGUGUAGAGAGAAAUACAUGAUUUCUUACCCCAUUCCAGUGCUUCAGGGUGUCCAUGCGGAUGCGACGGCAGCUUUUCCAGAGGUGUGCCAUAGACAGUGAGAGAGAACAGCAGAUCUUGUGCACAACGAGUGGAGAGGCCUCAGUGUAUUGCAGCCCUGGAGCCGGCUCUCAGCACACGGCUUUCUGACCAGCUGUGCCUCAUAUUGUUACCUUUCACUAGGUUUCCGGUUCACCUGCGCACUGCCGGUGGUGGCUGGUCCCCUUCAAGAAGGUGAGGUGCCUGAGGUCCCUCCGCCCCCUCUGGACAUCGAGUCAAUGGACAUAGCGAGUCAUAAGCUCAAGAUUUGGCUUUCUUUACUUGGCUACAGGUUAGUAUUAAACAUAGUUGAGUUCAAAACAAUGAAAGUGCUAACAUACUCCAAAUAACAUGCCUAAAUCACCUCAAAGUAACUUCCAGCCA